rnacentral:lncRNA from 7 species
AGAGAGCCCGCAGCGCUUGUUUGUACUGCUGGAUUAGCGAGGACGUGGAAAUUGAAUGGGGACCGCGGUGGUCGCGGCCCCGCUGUGAGUUCCCGGGGGGCACUGCCUCCCCCCGCGGCCCCUCUGCUCCCCUCUCCGCACCUCGCCGGAACCCUCGUCCCGCUGCGGGCCGCCGCCGGGAGGGACUUGAGGGAUCUCCAGAGAUUCUUCUAAAAGUACAGAAAGUAUCAGAAUAGCUAAAUUAAGACAACUUCCACUACUGUUAAGUGGAAGCACCAGGAAGAAAGAUUAUCUCAACUUAUGUAAUAAGAUUUAUUUCUGUCUGCAUUUAUACACGUGAUCUUCAGAUUCAUAAGAAGAGAGUUCCAGCAGCAUAAAGUGAGUCUUACAUACAGCAUUUAAGGAAAUGAAGAGGAAUGAACAGGCACAGACUCCUCACAUCCGCAAACACUACAACUCACUCCUAGGCUCUGUGAUGAAACUCAACAGUGCAUUUACAACACCAUUAUCCUUCACAUUACAGAACUUCUAUGAAGAAAGAAAAGGUCUUCCUUAUUUUUUUUACACAUUUUGAAAAUGUUUUAUGAGUGUAACCACAUCACAAUUUCUUGGACUAUGUGUGGCAAAAAAAUGCAAGGAUUGUCUCAGUGCCUUUCUCUUCUGUUAGGCAACCAUACGUAAUAUAUCAUAUAGACAUCACAAUGUUAGUUUGUCUGCUUGCUUUUCCUAGUAUCAUCAUUACAGUAAUAAUUACUGGCUGAAUUGGGAUCCAUUCAAUGAGCCAUACAAAAAGUAUCUUUCCCAUCAGAGAUCAAAGUGACAAAAUAAAGCAUUGCCAAAUGAAACCAAUAUGAUGAGAUCUUUCCUUCAGUGUAAUUACCCCAAGACAGUAAAGGUAACUUGCUGGGAAAGGAAGAAAUAACUUUAGCCAAUGUUGCCUGAAAUUGAAUGAGUUAUGGAAAUUCUUAACAAAAAAACUUGGAUCCUGUGUCACUGCAGCAACCUAGAAAAGAUAUUAACUUCCUCAAGGAAAUCCCCUGGAGCACAGAAGUAACAAAAUGGAAAGAAAGGAAUCCCAGUCAAGUAAUGGUUUUAAGAUGGACUAUAGUCCAUGCCAAAUAAUUAAGGAAAACAAGAAGAAAAUAGUAACAAGCACCAUGAAAAGACUCAGUCAUCUCCCCUGAUGUAAGGAGAUCAAGCACAUAUUUGACACCCCACUGAUCAACUCCAAGGCGAGAAAGGAGUCAGAUAAACAUUCUGAAUCCUGGAUCUUCCAAUUCAAAUGAAUUUCUAGAAAUGGUCAACAGCAGUUUUUGGCCUUUCCACUGUGCCAGCUGACACAGGGGUUAGCUGCAAUGCUGACUUUAAGAAACUGUUUCAGUUUGGUUUAACCAUACUAUAAAACUAUGCUUUUGUACUGAUGCAUGAGAAUUAUAGAUUAGUGGCAUUUUAUUAAAAAAAAAAAAAAAGGCAGAAAAUCUACAGUUAUAAAAGGGAAAGCCGUCUUAAAACAUCAGUCCUCAAGUUCCAGUUCAGCCUGCAAUGUUUAUCCCUUUUCUGAGGUUGCAAUGUAUGUGCUGGUGCAACUGUCUUUGAGCCAUUUACACCAUGAGUCUCUGACUGAAUGACAAAUAUCCAUCACUCAGGGCUUGAAAGAGCUAUAGGAAUAUCCAUGGUUAUUUCUGGCCAUGAGAAUGAGUACAAAUGUCAUGUAUUAUUCAAAAAUAAAUAAAUAGAAAUUCCAAUCAUCCAAUUUGUCAGUAAGUGAGAAAAGAUUAUACAUACAGAGAUUUUUUCAAAUGUUAUUGUAAAUGUGCUCAGUGAAAUUUUACUUCAGAGAAAUAGUACAUUUAAGAUAAUGCUCAUACAGCGCACCAAAAGACUGUGAGCAUGGCUUUGUGCCAACAAUUAUUUUCAGAUAUAUUUUUUACAAUUUAAAGCAUUUAACAUUGGCUAGCUAUGAUUCUAACAAAGACAGUGAUAAACCCCUGGUCAACACAAGUAACAGCAUUAAAACUCCAGUAGGUAUUUCUGAAAACCCUACGUGUUACCUGAUUCGCUUUUUGCUGAAAAUAAAAUACCAUGGAUGAACAAUUGUACUUUUUAUAAAAAAAUGAAGGGCAGAUUAAGACUGGAAUUCUUAUAAGCUGCUAUCUAAAUAUGAAGAGCACAAAAUGCCACAAGAUCCUCCUGGAGCCAUGUAGUUGUGUUAUAUACAGAAGAACAAAAAGCCAAAAAUAUCAUUUUACAGAGAAAUUUUCUAAUGCCUCAAAAUUAUGAUAGCAUAUGAGAAAUAACACUUCCAGUUUUCUUUCUAUACUUUCUAUUUACCAACAUGAGACAAUAUUCCAAGAGCUAGAUCUGUAAAGAUUUGCUGUUAACUCUUCAUCUUGCACCCUGGAUUCCAUUAAUUGUGCCAGCAGGCAACAUUAAAAACAUGAUUACAAUC